GGUUAAGCGACUAAGCGUACACGGUGGAUGCCCUGGCAGUCAGAGGCGAUGAAGGGCGUGCUAAUCUGCGAUAAGCGCCGGUAAGGUGAUAUGAACCGUUAUAACCGGCGAUACCCGAAUGGGGAAACCCAGUGUGAUUCGUCACACUAUCAUUAACUGAAUCCAUAGGUUAAUGAGGCGAACCGGGGGAACUGAAACAUCUAAGUACCCCGAGGAAAAGAAAUCAACCGAGAUUCCCCCAGUAGCGGCGAGCGAACGGGGAGGAGCCCAGAGCCUGAAUCAGCAUGUGUGUUAGUGGAAGCGUCUGGAAAGGCGCGCGAUACAGGGUGACAGCCCCGUACACAAAAGCACAUGUGCUGUGAGCUCGAUGAGUAGGGCGGGACACGUGGUAUCCUGUCUGAAUAUGGGGGGACCAUCCUCCAAGGCUAAAUACUCCUGACUGACCGAUAGUGAACCAGUACCGUGAGGGAAAGGCGAAAAGAACCCCGGCGAGGGGAGUGAAAAAGAACCUGAAACCGUGUACGUACAAGCAGUGGGAGCCCCACCACUAAGCCAGUGGUGAACUCCACAUACGCAUCCUUUGCUGAGGAUACGGUUAACGGAGCGAAAGCGACGUUCAACCGCAAAAGAAGCAGAGGGGGCUUAGUGGUGGGGUGACUGCGUACCUUUUGUAUAAUGGGUCAGCGACUUAUAUUCUGUAGCAAGGUUAACCGAAUAGGGGAGCCGGAGGGAAACC
rnacentral:rRNA from 1 species